AACGAACGCUGGCGGCAUGCCUAACACAUGCAAGUCGAACGAAGGCUUCGGCCUUAGUGGCGCACGGGUGCGUAACGCGUGGGAAUCUGCCCUUUGGUUCGGAAUAACAGCUGGAAACGGCUGCUAAUACCGGAUGAUGACGAAAGUCCAAAGAUUUAUCGCCAGAGGAUGAGCCCGCGUUGGAUUAGGUAGUUGGUGGGGUAAAGGCCUACCAAGCCGACGAUCCAUAGCUGGUCUGAGAGGAUGAUCAGCCACACUGGGACUGAGACACGGCCCAGACUCCUACGGGAGGCAGCAGUGGGGAAUAUUGGACAAUGGGCGCAAGACUGAUCCAGCAAUGCCGCGUGAGUGAUGAAGGCCCUAGGGUUGUAAAGCUCUUUUACCCGGGAAGAUAAUGACUGUACCGGGAGAAUAAGCCCCGGCUAACUCCGUG
rnacentral:rRNA from 1 species